UACGAAGGGUCCAAGCGUUAUCCGGAUUUAUUGGGUUUAAAGGGUGCGUAGGCGGCUUAUUAAGUCAGUGGUGAAAGCCUGCAGCUUAACUGCAGAACUGCCAUUGAUACUGAUGAGCUUGAAUGUACUUGAGGUGGGCGGAAUGUGUCAUGUAGCGGUGAAAUGCUUAGAUAUGACACAGAACACCGAUUGCGAAGGCAGCUCGCUAAAGUAUGAUUGACGCUGAUGCACGAAAGCGUGGGGAGCAAACAGG
rnacentral:rRNA from 1 species